UCAUCGUGACUCGUGCGCAUACCGUAGUCGCCAUUGGAGACAGUCGGAAGGCCUAGUGGAAGUCCGUUAUUAUUUUGUUGCGAAUUAUUGUAAAUGUGAUCUCAGAAAAACUUAAACGAAUCCAUCAGUAAGUUUCCCUUGUAAACGUAUUUGAACUUCAAAUCAAAGGUUUCUUUAUUUACUUAACGUUAAUCCAGUUAAACAGACCGAACAGCGUGGCUUUAAGCGAGCUUAGCAGCUAAAUCUGACGACGUCAACGUGAAACUAUCGCUGAAAAAUAUGAAGACCACUGACAAGAGCAUGCAAACUCAGACAGCACGUCUCAGUGAGGGGCUGAGGUUGAUCUUUGAUCAAGAUCCAUCCGGCUCUCCCUCCUCUAGUCCCCAUUCCAGCAGCAGGAGCAGCCGCAGUACCAGCCGUGACCGUCGCUCAUCCAGAAGCACGAAGAGAUCUCAUAGGAGGAGACGUCACUCCAGAUCUUCCUCCAGUUCCUCUACAUCAAGCACCCAAUCUCGUUCCCGCUCUCAUCCACGAUGCCACAGACAAUCGUCACGCCACCGUUGCCGCCGUCAUCGCCACUCGCCACCUCGCCGCUACCGGGCACGCUCCCGCUCCUACAGCCCUUCCCCGUCAUCAGAUCGCCACCACACACGCAGAAGCCGCUCUCGCUCCAGGUCACCCGACAGCAGAAGGCACCGUGGCGUCGUUGGCCGAUACCGUAGCAGGCCCUCUGACUACAGCCGCAGGAGCAAGUCCCGGACACCCGAGCAGUCCUCAGUCCAUCUCAGUCAGGAUGAAAAAAGGGAGCUUCUGAGAAUUGCUGCGGAAAAUGCAGUGAAGAUUGUGGGGUCAGACCGGUUGCAGUUGCCUGAAAGUGUGAAGAGGACCCUCCAGUCGGAAGAGAAAGCAGCCCUUUCACCAGAUCAUAGCAGUCCAGUCCCAAGCAAAUGGGUGAGACCAGAGCCAGAACCCCAGCAGAGUCUAGAACAGGUGGGUGUCAACAGAAGCAGAUCAUUUAUUCUUUUGUGCGUCCUGUUUGAGGGAUAGAGCUACAGAAGACCUUAUUUUACACUUGUACAAUGUAACUGUACUUGAGCUACUACAAUGGAGAUGUGCAAGUAGUGUAGUAUUUGAAACUGACCAUUGCUAAUAUGGCUAUCUGAAUGCCCACACACCAGUCAAUAAGUAAAAGAUUGUUAAGAGUGAAGGGGUCUCUUUAUUUAUGUAUUUAUAUUUUUGUAAUUGUGAAACAUUUUUUAAACUGACACAUUUCUCUGGCUCGUUUCUAUAACUUUUCAAUUUCCUUUUGAUAAAGAAAGUGUAUUUGCAGGCAUCUGACUGGCCUGGAUCAGGCUGAUUUUAUAAAUAGUCCUCUAAACGCUGUGUGUUAAUUACAGCAAAGGCUUAUUCGGGUAAUUUGAGUCAUCGAGUCUGUCAUGGACAUUUAAAGAAAAUGUUGAAGAUAACAUGGUCUGCUCUCCAGCACCCCUCGGAUUUAGGAGAGCGAGGGGGCAGUCAUGUGACGCCACUGGGUUUGUGGAAAGGGUUAAUUCUUAAGUCUCACUUGCACAUUAAAGGUCAAGUAACAGUUGAUGCCUGUAGUGUACCUUGUUUAAUAAGUACAGUACAUAUUAGUAGCGCACCAUAGUUAAGUGUACAUCUUUGUAUAGCAUUGAUCUCCACCCUUUCAAAUUGGAGACUAGCUCGUUUCAACAUAGACAUUAAAGAAGUAGCCAACGCCUCAUAUCUGACUACAUGUAACGUACUAGCAGGAUCUGUUCUUCAUGCAUAACAGAAACGUUUGUUUGUUUGCUCUUGGUUGAAACGGAUGCGUUGUUAUUUGGCAGAGCCAUCCUCCAGCUUGCAGAAGAAGUGCAGGUGCUGGGACUGCACAGUAGUGACUAUCCCUGAGCUGAAAACUUAAAAACAGAAGAAGAAACAACCCCCUCCCCCUCUCCAUGUACCAAAGAUAAGUUUGUGCCCAUGCUGUGGCACAAGUUGGGGUUCAGAAACUGCAUCAUCAGAGAAAGGGAUCUUUUAUUUUUAUUUUUGUGCUGUUAUUUUUUCCUUUUCCCUUCAAAUAUACUGGAACUAACUGGUCCAAAAGUUCGGCAACUGCCCAUUGGCAGCAGUGCAGACAGAUAUCCGUUGUAACAUUGCAGAUCGUAGAUAUUAAGUCACAAUUAUGCCUGUACAUUGUGGCCUUAAUGACCUUGAGAUAGUCAUAUGCAUGGAUUGUUGUCUAAAGACAAAAAAAAGGUCACAUCUCUAUCAGUCUGAGGAUGAUGAAGAAAGUUUGAAAAGAGUUUGUGAUCACUUUGUUAAACAAGUCUGUUCCUUUUGUCUUUCUGGUAGAUCACAGAGAUGGCCUCAGAGGAUGGCGAAUUAAGCCCCAAGAUGUCUCCAAAGAGAAAACCCAUCACGUUCAGCAUCAAUAACACUGUUGCAAAGCCGACGAAUGGCAAACCUCAGGGCAUGGCAGAGGUUAAGGUAACCUCCAGGGUUGACAUCGUGGGCAGUAAAAAGCCUUAUGGCCAGUGGAUCCCCGUCAAGACAAAAGUCCUUCUUUCAUCAAAACAGUAGCAAGCUUGCUAGUCCUUGCUGAACUUUGUAUAUAUUGUAUUUAUUGUAUAUAUGGGAAGGGGGUGUAUAGAAUUCAUCAUAGAUAUUUUCUUGCAGAUGUACAGUAAAAAGCAGUUGAGGGAAUUGGGAAGAAGGCAAGAAGAAAAUCUACAGGUGGGAUAUUUUUGUGACGUUUCUGUGGUUUGAAUAAAGACAUAUAAUGUGGA